rnacentral:rRNA from 1 species
GACGAACNNNNGNNGGGNGGCCUUANACACNNNCAANUCGAGNGNAUNAAAGGGGNNCGCNNGNNUNCNUCUUAAGUUAGCGGCGGACGGGUGAGUAACACGUAGGCAACCUGCCUCAAAGCCUGGGAUAACAUUCGGAAACGGAUGCUAAUACCGGAUAAACCAUUGGGCUGCAUGGCCNAAUGAUGAAAGGCGGAGCAAUCUGCCGCUUAGAGAUGGGCCUGCGGCGCAUUAGCUAGUUGGUGGGGUAACGGCUCACCAAGGCGACGAUGCGUAGCCGACCUGAGAGGGUGAUCGGCCACACUGGGACUGAGACACGGCCCAGACUCCUACGGGAGGCAGCAGUAGGGAAUCUUCCGCAAUGGACGAAAGUCUGACGGAGCAACGCCGCGUGAGUGAUGAAGGUUUUCGGAUCGUAAAGCUCUGUUGCCAGGGAAGAACGAGUGGGGGAGUAACUGCCCUUGCUAUGACGGUACCUGAGAAGAAAGCCCCGGCUAACUACGUGCCAGCAGCCGCGGUAAUACGUAGGGGGCAAGCGUUGUCCGGAAUUAUUGGGCGUAAAGCGCGCGCAGGCGGUUUUGUAAGUCGGGUGUUUAAGCUCGGGGCUCAACCCCGAUACGCAUUCGAAACUGCAAGACUUGAGUGCAGAAGAGGAAAGUGGAAUUCCACGUGUAGCGGUGAAAUGCGUAGAGAUGUGGAGGAACACCAGUGGCGAAGGCGACUUUCUGGGCUGUAACNGACGCUGAGGCGCGA